rnacentral:tRNA from 1 species
GGAGAGAUGUCCGAGUGGAUGAAGGAGCACGCCUGGAAAGCGUGUAAAUGGGAAACUGUUUCCGGGGUUCGAAUCCCCGUCUCUCCGCCA